AAAAAAGGAAUAUCGCGAGACGCCAUCGUCUCGACAUUUUAUUUUCUUUUUAACUUGGGCGCCAUAAUGUUACGGAAUUGUCAGGGCGGAGUACCCCCAAUGUCCCAACAGUUCCCCAACAUUGAUAUCGAUAACUCACGUCUCACGAUACUAACGAUAACACACAUCUCUAACAACAAAAAGUGCCCCGAGGGACGUCUUGGAGGCACCACCCAUACGACCGCUUCAUCUCCAACUCAACACAUUUCGGGUUUUACAGACAAUUAAUUAACACGCCUUCAAGACCAAAACUUUGCCGCCGUCUUCAAUUUUACGCGGUCAAAGCGGAGAACACGUUCCCCACUGGAAAAGGCUAAAGGCGCGGCGAAUAAAAUUUUGUACCAUUCAUGCAUUGGUAGAGCUCGUAUAACACAACAAGGGAUGCGAUGCGCGAAUGUCGGGUCACCUAAUCCUGAGGAGCUCCAGGGGAAAAGCAGGGACAGGCUGUUAACUAUUUAUUUAUUUAUUUAUUUCGAGAACGUACAAUAUUUUGAGAACCUACAAUAACGACCUUUCUUACAGGCUAAAGACGAGAACAACUAAGGCUCUCGGAUCUAAUUCCGGAUAAAUUUACAUUAUAAAGCCAUGGAUUUAACAUAUAAUUAACGAUUUCAAAUUUCAGCUGGGACAUAGACUUCUCCGUCGGAGGCCAGUUAUAAUUACUAAAUUUAAUUCGAAGUUCUUAA